UAUUAAUAGGAAUAUCCUCAGAAGAAGGAAGCAACUUAGAAGAGUAAUUUUCACUAUGGCUCCUAGAAUCUGUCAUUGGAGAUGUAAGAAACAACUAAAUUAGAAAGAUGAAAAAGAGGCAGAAAAAGAAGAGAAGGGAAACCGACCUGUUGUGACACAAUAAGGGUGAAGAAGAUGACAAUUCUUCAAGAGAUGAAGAUGACUAUCUGAAAGAAAAUAGCCGACGAACCGAAAAGCCCUCAAGAUAGGAAGG
rnacentral:lncRNA from 1 species